rnacentral:tRNA from 1 species
GCUCUCGUCGUCUAAUGGCUAUGAUAUCAGAUUCCUAUCGCAAGCACAUGAUCUGAAGGUUCCGGGUUCGAGUCCCGGCGGGAGUA